GAUUCUCAAACUGUGUGGUGCGGAGGCAUUACAGGUGGGGCGCGCGACCGGGAGGGGGAGAUGUGAGGCGGAACUAAUGUUUUGACGUCCGCUUCUCUUUAACGGUGGAACAGGAGGGAGAAGGGGUCCCUAUGGUAACAAAGAGGAGUUAAGAAGGAUCACAUCAAUUCCUCUCCAGCAAACCAUUUGGUCAACAUUGGACACUGGUUUUUCAGACAAAGGACAGGGUGGCUUGCACGAAAAAAAGUUCUAUGCUGGACUCACUCAGGCAGCAACAUAUCAAAGGUAGAAGAGACGUCAUCAUCCGCUGCUUAAUGGAGUAACUUGGAGAGUCUGGAGAGGAACUCAUCAAGGACUACCAGCAAGGAAGCCAAAGAGGACUUCUCUCAUCAUGACUUUAAGAUCUGAAGGAAAUGCAGCACAGGAAGGCCACAACCCCUGACCAUGUCGGUCAUCACAAGGGAAAAGAGGUUCUUCAUGACUGUUGCAAAUGUUUACCUUUUGCUCAAAGGCCCGAACCGAACCGAAUUUGUUGGGAAUUAACUUAAUGCAUUUCUAUUCUGUAUUUCUUACAAAGCUAUUGCACUUUACAGUGAUACUUCAUUGAAAAUGUAAUCUCUGCA